GGCUCCAUAGUGUAGUGGUUAGCACGUCUGCUUUACAUGCAGAAGGUUCUGGGUUCGUGCCACAGGUGGAGCCA
rnacentral:tRNA from 1 species